rnacentral:lncRNA from 1 species
GGUAACUAGAAUAACUUCCCUUUGGCAUAAAAACAUUAUGAUAACCUUUCUUCAGGUCAGAGUACCACACAAUUUUUCUCUAAAAGUAAGUGAUGUAAGAGUCCUCAAACUAAUGGAAACAGGAGCCUAGGUACAGAAAUAUAUGAAGAAAGGGGGUGGCUGGAAGAGUACGAAUUUGAGGAAAUAAAGGAUAAGUAUGUGGUCUUACAGCUCAAGUGGUAGAUAUGCCCAAAGUGAAGAUGUCAGAGGGAAUACAACCCGGAAAGUUCCUCUGUUCUUUUCUAUUGGCCUUUAAGCAAGCACAUAGAGGAAAUAAAAUGUCCGGAUUUUUGAAGAGCUUGCCCUACCAAAGUACAAAGAAAAGAAGCCAACACUUGAAAAACGACAGGAACUACCCAUUUGCAGGUACCAAGACCCAUAUGAUUUCCAAAAUUUUUUAGUUUCUGCAACACUCAGCCAGAAAAUAUCAUAUUUGCACAUUAAGUCUGAUGUGGAAGGAGGGGUUACCAAAAAGAAGAAGGAAGGAGGGAGGAAAGACCUAGAGAAAGCAUGCCCACUAUCCAUGCAUAUACUUUUAUGGUGAUAAGAUGGAAGCUUAGCAAAGAAGCGACAAUAAACUUGGGCAAUUUCAGGUCAAUAAGAAGAUGAAUGACAUAAGGACUAACCGUGCGAAAUUAGUAAGAACCUUUCCACUGUGUUCUUUUUUCUUUAGACCAGCGGUGGGUUGGGAAAAUAAACGAGGGUGGAUUUGGCAUUCAUUCCACUAGGUAAACAGAGAGUGCUUAUAUAAGUUCGUUUGCUUUACUCUUCUCAAGUAUUUAGGUUUACUAGGCUCGUGGUUGAAAAACAAAUUCAUGUAAACUAAUGUUAAAUGAGAGCGAACGUUGGGCCUUUAAAAUUUAACAUAACCACAAGAUGAGUGGCGUAUAAAUAAGGAUGUUGAAAUGGAUGUGUAAUUAUAAUAUUAAACAGAAUUAGAAAUCAGCACAUUUGACAGAGGGUGCAACAUACAUAAUUACAUUAAGACAAGAGGGGUUGCUCUGAUGGUAAGCAAUCCCCACUUCCAACCGAGAGGUUGUGAGAAAUAAGAUUACUAUUUGCAGAACUUACUUAACUAGAGACAGUUGGGACAAGAGAGGUUGCUCUGAUGGUAAGUAACCCCACUUUCAACCGAGAGGUUGUGAGUUCGAGUCUCCCCAAGAGCAAGGUGGGAAGUCCUUGGAGAGAAGGAUGCCGGGGGUCUAUUUGGAAACAGCCUCUCUGCCCAGGUAGGGGUAAGGUCAGCGUACAUGCUACCCUCCCCAGACCCCCCACUAAGUGGGAUUAUACUGGGUUGUUGUUGUUGUUGUUGUUAUUAAGGCUAAAAUGAAACAAGGUCGCGUGAAUUUGAUCAUGUCCUAUGUCAAAACUAUGAUGACGAUGCUAAAGGGGACAGCUGGAAGAAAAUCAUCUCAAAAGAAAUGUUUUUAAAAGCGAAAAUCACAAAAUACAGUGAAGACAUGAGGUUUUUAGCAAAAAGAAAGACACAAAGCACACAUUUCUUGAAAGUGAGGAGAACUUUUUUGAUAACAUUGCUCAAAAGAAUUACACUCUCAAUAGCAAUUCCGGAUGAUAUAACUAAAUGUUCCUC